CUUGUGCCAGCAGCCGCGGUAAUACAGAGGGUGCAAGCGUUAAUCGGAAUUACUGGGCGUAAAGCGCGCGUAGGUGGUUCGUUAAGUUGGAUGUGAAAUCCCCGGGCUCAACCUGGGAACCGCAUUCAAAACUGACGAGCUAGAGUAUGGUAGAGGGUGGUGGAAUUUCCUGUGUAGCGGUGAAAUGCGUAGAUAUAGGAAGGAACACCAGUGGCGAAGGCGACCACCUGGACUGAUACUGACACUGAGGUGCGAAAGCGUGGGGAGCAAACAGGAU
rnacentral:rRNA from 1 species